rnacentral:antisense_RNA from 1 species
AGGCCCCGGGGCAAAUGGAGGGCGGCGUGCGCUGUGCUUAUCGGCCCCAAACGGGGCCGGACCCGAGGCUCAUGGUGCAGGGAGAUUCGCCUGCCGCCGCCAGCAGCUCUGUCUUGGCAUUGCGCUGCCUACAGCCUACCCGGCCGUCACCGAACGCGGGAGCGCCGGGGAUCUGGGCGGAGGAGCCAGGAGAGGCGGGGCGGCACGAGAUGUGAAGUGCGGCCUCCAUAGUAACCGGCGCACGGCGCCUUCCGCGUGUUGUGACCUUUGAAGAGAAAUGCCGUAGAAGCAUGGACGUGGGUUUUCACCAAGGUUGUUCACUAAUUUAAGUGAUUUUUUUGUUUGGUUUUUUUUUUUUGAGACAGGUACUCACUCUGUCUCCCAGGCCGGAGUGCAGUUAUCUGUACAAUUGAUAAUCCAUAAGAUGGUCCAGAGCCUGUGUAACAGAGAGACUCCGUCACAA